GAGGAUAUAGCUCAGUGGUAGAGUGCAUGCUUAGCAUGUGCAAGGUCCUGGGUUCAAUCCCCAGCACCUCU
rnacentral:tRNA from 1 species